CAGUCGCCGCGGUAAUACAGAGGAUGCAAGCGUUAUCCGGAAUGAUUGGGCGUAAAGCGUCCGUAGGUGGCUUUUCAAGUCCGCCGUCAAAUCCCAGGGCUCAACCCUGGACAGGCGGUGGAGACUACCAAGCUGGAGUACGGUAGGGGCAGAGGGAAUUUCCGGUGGAGCGAUGAAAUGCGUAGAGAUGUGGAGGAACACCAGUGGCGAAGGCGACUCUCUGGUCUGUAACUGACGCUGAGGAGCGAAAGCGUGGGGAGCGAACAGGAUUAGAUACCCCAGUAGUCCCUGUCUCUUAUAC
rnacentral:rRNA from 1 species